UGACUCAACUCAGCUUUAUUUUUUUCGCGCUUUCACAACAGUUGAAGCUGUAGCAAAGCACUUUUGAGAAAACAUGACUUAAAAAGUUUACAAUAGUCCCAAUUUACACAUACAUUUAAAACAUUAUAGCUAAUUCAGAAAGACAAAUAAUUGGUUUGUUGAUGUAUUGGAAAUAUUAAAAAAGGUAGGUGUUGAAGCACUUUGAAUUGCAUUUUUAUGCCUAUGAUCAGCAUGGUAUCGACAUAGUUUAAUUGAAUGAAUUAUCUAAACGAAACCUAACAAAACCUACAAUGGUAAUGCAAAUUUUUCUAAAACGGCAUGUCAUACUAAUCCUGGUUUGUUCGACACAGGCCUGGCCAUUCCCGAGCAUGACGCGUCUCAUGGAAAAAUGUCAUGGGUGACAUUUAGUGUUGCAUGCAAAGUUAGGGAGGUCAGUGGACCUCAAGCCGCCACCUGGAAUGCCUGCUAUGCCUGCCGUUGUCUCUCUGCUGCAUUGGUGGGAGGCACUUAGCGGCAGUGCUGACAUGGAUGCUCGGCAGCAGACUUGUUAAUGAACGUGAACUUUGGGAACCCCCCCUCCUGUGCCCUCAGCCCUCCCGCCUGCUUUCCCUUCCCGACAGGGCGUCCAUCUCCGAGCGGGGUCGCACCGUGACGGACGCCACCGCGCAUGAAUUGCCUUGAAUGAUCUCUUCAUUCAUCCGGAUGUGCACCGGGACCUCAGCGGGGACUGGAAAUAAUUGCAUGGGUUCUUGGGACGUUUUCUUCUCGCUGCAGCCUCCAUGACGGCGUGCAUGAGAGGAGGUAAGAGUAAACAGUAGUAAACAACAGUAAAAGCAGGGGAGGGGGCCUCCUGCUGGGUUGAUUAUUGGGAAGGCUGU